rnacentral:tRNA from 1 species
CAGAGAGUAGUUUUAAGCAUAAAAUUUUGGCUUUGGGAGCCAGAGAUAGAGGUUAGAAUCCUUUCUCUUUGA